ensembl:lncRNA
CAUGGUAUGAAAAUGAUCUCUGCAAAACACUGGCAGUGUGAACGAGGCUUGAGAGAGUGAGGGUGCAGGCACGCCGUGUAGCCAGAUCCAUUUAUUUUAAGCAUCUUUGGACUCGUCUUUUCUACUUUAGAAAGUUCAUAAAGCGGGAAGUUGCAGUUUAGAGAUAAGAUCUUUAGUUAUUAUCUGUCAGAAACUUUAUCAACGCUAUCGCUAUUUCAACAUGGAACGAUCUUUAUUCAUCCAAAUAAAGACACAUAGGAUCAAGACACACACGUAGCAGGGAGAUAGACAAAAGCAGCAGACCAAGAAACUCAUGGGAAUGGGACUCACUAUAAAUACACAGGACUGAUGAGGGGAAGAGGAGGAACACCUGGAACUAAUGGAAACACAUAGGAAACACCUGGGAUUAAAUCAAAGACCCGGGUGACAGAAACUGGGUCACAGGGGUAAAACAAAACAAAAAACAAACACAAACCAUGGAACAGUGUUUAACAUUACUUCCCCCUCCCGGAAGGUGUGACCUUGCGCCCCCCCCUCCACAAAAAAAAAAAUUCUUGGGGAAAACUAGGCACUUGCACGCGCUCUGAAGAAGUGGGCACUUAAGCGAGCUCUGGGGCUGGAGGCAACACUGGGACUGACACUGGAGCUAACUAGAGAUCCGUUGCCCUUCCUGGGUAGAACUGGGAAUCUGGAGCCCACCCUGGGCUCACCAGGGAAUCAGGAGCCCUCCUUGGGGUUAAAGGGGAAAUCAAGAAAUGGGGAAUCAGGAGCCCUCCAUGGGCUUUAUGGGGAAUCUUUGGACCUCCCUGGGCUCAACAGGGAACCAGGAGCCCUCCCUGGGGUUAACGGGGAAUCUGGAACCUUCCCUGGGCUUAACUGGGGAUCAGGAGCCCAUCCUGGGCUUAACUCAGGAACAGGAGCCCAUCCUGGGCUAGACUGGGGAUCGGGAGCCCUUCCUGGGCUUUGCUCUGGGGCUAGGCCGACACUGUUCUUCUCACCCCUAGUUUCCUCUGCUGGAUGGGAGGGGGGGAAGGUGUGGUCUGGGCCAACACUGGAGCAAACUCUGGAAGGCGCUUUUGAGGAGCAGGAACUGGAGGGCGCUCUGGAAGGCGCUUAUGAGGAGCAGGCACUGGAGUGAACUAUGGGGCUGGCAGGCUUGCCACAUUAAUGUUCGUUGGGCUUGCCAUAUUAAUGUUCAUUGGGCUUGCUAUAUUAAUGGCCGGUGAACUUGGGUGAGCCACGGAAGUAUGCGGGUGUGGGUUAGCCUCGGACGGUGGCAGGCUUGACUUUGGAGCUGCUGGCAGAUGGGUCCCGGAUCGGGGGCUCUCCAGACACCAGAUGACUGCCUCCUUCCAGCCGAGGUUGGUGGUGUCUUGGAGCUCCGCGGGUUGAUGGUACAUCAUCCCGAAUCUGGAACAGUGACUCUAGGGUUUCCACCUUGAGGGAGCUGGCGAGGGCUUUUGGCACAAACGCCUACGUGAACACGAUUGGGCUGGGGCUCGCCUGAGCCACGGCGAUAAAUAAGGCUUGUUCCUCCAUUUAGGGACGUGGAGGAACACACGGGGGAAAAAAAACAACACUUUUAGGAAAACGGAAAAUAAAGGCAGGGAGAGGGGGCGCCGCUUACAGUUGGGUCUGCUGUUCUGUAACGAUUCGGCUACUGCCAAUGUGUAGGAACGAGGAAUCGAGAAGACUUCAACAUGGAACCGUCUUUUUUUCAUCCAAAUAAAGAGACAUAGGAGCAAGACACACCAUAGCAGGGAGAACAGACGUAUAACAGCAGACCAAGAAACUAGGAAUGGGACUCACUAUAAAUACACAGGACUGAUGAGGGGAAGACGAGGAACACCUGGAACUAAUGGAAACACAUAGGAAACACCUGGGAUUAAAUCAAAGUUGC